AUGCAAAAGAAGGAGAAACCCAUGACAAAAAGGUUAUUACAAUUUGAGACACUUUUAAGAAAUAUUAUAAUGGUAAGCAUUCCUUUAUGCUAAAGGAACAUGUUUGCACUUGGUGAUAAAUAAUUUUACUUUUCAGGAAGGGGAGAACAGACUCCAAAGAAGAGUAGAUGUGAUGACACCAAGAAAGAGCAGCCACAUAUUACCUCGAGAGGUUAACCUGAAUGCAAAUCAACAGAAUAUGAUGCUGACCAAGUACCAGGAAGAGGUGUCCCCAUCACUGUAGAUGACAAGUGAUGACAGUUAUCUUGAUGGACUACAGGAAUGAUUCAAGUGCAUUCAUUAUGCAGUUUACUGAUUUGUUUGAUGUAUUUUGAUAAUUGUUCUGGCAUUCUGAUGUCAGCUGAGUAACACCUCCAUAAUGGAGACAAAUUAAGGAACUUCUGUUUUGAAGCAGUAAAAUAGUCUCAGCAAGAAUUUUAUUUAUUUUGCCAGCAGAACAGAAGUUUCCAUUAAUUUUCCCACACAAACAUUUUGUGCUUUUCUGUUCCCCAUUUGUGCUUAUUGUCCUGCUGAACAAUUGGACCACCUUUUCAGUGACAUUUUUUACACACUGCAUGACAAUGUGAUUUAUAAGUAUGAUUUGAUAUAGUUUGAUGGUUUGAUAUUAGUAUAUGUGGCAUGUAGUAAACAAUGGAAUAGUAAAGUUAUGCCAUA